rnacentral:rRNA from 1 species
UACAGAGGGUGCAAGCGUUGUUCGGAAUUAUUGGGCGUAAAGCGCGUGUAGGCGGCUUUGCAAGUCGGGUGUGAAAGCCCUCAGCUCAACUGAGGAAGUGCGCCCGAAACUGCAGAGCUUGAGUGCCGGAGAGGGUGGCGGAAUUCCCCAAGUAGAGGUGGAAUUCGUAGAUAUGGGGAGGAACACCGGUGGCGAAGGCGGCCACCUGGACGGUAACUGACGCUGAGACGCGAAAGCGUGGGGAGCGAACAGG